GAUGAACGCUGGCGGCGUGCCUAAUACAUGCAAGUAGAACGCUGAAGGAAGGAGCUUGCUCUUUCCGGAUGAGUUGCGAACGGGUGAGUAACGCGUAGGUAACCUGCCUGGUAGCGGGGGAUAACUAUUGGAAACGAUAGCUAAUACCGCAUAACAGUAGAUGUUGCAUGAUAUCUACUUAAAAGGUGCAAUUGCACCACUACCAGAUGGACCUGCGUUGUAUUAGUUAGUUGGGGAGGUAACGGCUCACCAAGGCGACGAUACAUAGCCGACCUGAGAGGGUGAUCGGCCACACUGGGACUGAGACACGGCCCAGACUCCUACGGGAGGCAGCAGUAGGGAAUCCUCGGAAAUGGACGGAAGUCUGACCGAGCAACGCCGCGGGAGUGAAGAAGGGUUUCGGAUCGUAAAGCUCUGUUGUAAGAGAAGAACGAGUGUGAGAGUGGAAAGUUCACACUGUGACGGUAUCUUACCAGAAAGGGACGGCUAACUACGUG
rnacentral:rRNA from 1 species